rnacentral:rRNA from 1 species
GGAGGAGCCCAGAGCCUGAAUCAGUGUGUGUGUUAGUGGAAGCGUCUGGAAAGGCGCGCGAUACAGGGUGACAGCCCCGUACACAAAAAUGCACAUAUUGUGAGCUCGAUGAGUAGGGCGGGACACGUGGUAUCCUGUCUGAAUAUGGGGGGACCAUCCUCCAAGGCUAAAUACUCCUGACUGACCGAUAGUGAACCAGUACCGUGAGGGAAAGGCGAAAAGAACCCCGGCGAGGGGAGUGAAAAAGAACCUGAAACCGUGUACGUACAAGCAGUGGGAGCCUCUUUAUGGGGUGACUGCGUACCUUUUGUAUAAUGGGUCAGCGACUUAUAUUCUGUAGCAAGGUUAACCGAAUAGGGGAGCCGAAGGGAAACCGAGUCUUAACUGGGCGUUAAGUUGCAGGGUAUAGACCCGAAACCCGGUGAUCUAGCCAUGGGCAGGUUGAAGGUUGGGUAACACUAACUGGAGGACCGAACCGACUAAUGUUGAAAAAUUAGCGGAUGACUUGUGGCUGGGGGUGAAAGGCCAAUCAAACCGGGAGAUAGCUGGUUCUCCCCGAAAGCUAUUUAGGUAGCGCCUCGUGAAUUCAUCUCCGGGGGUAGAGCACUGUUUCGGCAAGGGGGUCAUCCCGACUUACCAACCCGAUGCAAACUGCGAAUACCGGAGAAUGUUAUCACGGGAGACACACGGCGGGUGCUAACGUCCGUCGUGAAGAGGGAAACAACCCAGACCGCCAGCUAAGGUCCCAAAGUCAUGGUUAAGUGGGAAACGAUGUGGGAAGGCCCAGACAGCCAGGAUGUUGGCUUAGAAGCAGCCAUCAUUUAAAGAAAGCGUAAUAGCUCACUGGUCGAGUCGGCCUGCGCGGAAGAUGUAACGGGGCUAAACCAUGCACCGAAGCUGCGGCAGCGACACUAUGUGUUGUUGGGUAGGGGAGCGUUCUGUAAGCCUGUGAAGGUGGCCUGUGAGGGUUGCUGGAGGUAUCAGAAGUGCGAAUGCUGACAUAAGUAACGAUAAAGCGGGUGAAAAGCCCGCUCGCCGGAAGACCAAGGGUUCCUGUCCAACGUUAAUCGGGGCAGGGUGAGUCGACCCCUAAGGCGAGGCCGAAAGGCGUAGUCGAUGGGAAACAGGUUAAUAUUCCUGUACUUGGUGUUACUGCGAAGGGGGGACGGAGAAGGCUAUGUUGGCCGGGCGACGGUUGUCCCGGUUUAAGCGUGUAGGCUGGUUUUCCAGGCAAAUCCGGAAAACCAAGGCUGAGGCGUGAUGACGAGGCACUACGGUGCUGAAGCGACAAAUGCCCUGCUUCCAGGAAAAGCCUCUAAGCAUCAGGUAACAUCAAAUCGUACCCCAAACCGACACAGGUGGUCAGGUAGAGAAUACCAAGGCGCUUGAGAGAACUCGGGUGAAGGAACUAGGCAAAAUGGUGCCGUAACUUCGGGAGAAGGCACGCUGAUAUGUAGGUGAAGCGACUUGCUCGUGGAGCUGAAAUCAGUCGAAGAUACCAGCUGGCUGCAACUGUUUAUUAAAAACACAGCACUGUGCAAACACGAAAGUGGACGUAUACGGUGUGACGCCUGCCCGGUGCCGGAAGGUUAAUUGAUGGGGUUAGCGGUAACGCGAAGCUCUUGAUCGAAGCCCCGGUAAACGGCGGCCGUAACUAUAACGGUCCUAAGGUAGCGAAAUUCCUUGUCGGGUAAGUUCCGACCUGCACGAAUGGCGUAAUGAUGGCCAGGCUGUCUCCACCCGAGACUCAGUGAAAUUGAACUCGCUGUGAAGAUGCAGUGUACCCGCGGCAAGACGGAAAGACCCCGUGAACCUUUACUAUAGCUUGACACUGAACAUUGAGCCUUGAUGUGUAGGAUAGGUGGGAGGCUUUGAAGUGUGGACGCCAGUCUGCAUGGAGCCGACCUUGAAAUACCACCCUUUAAUGUUUGAUGUUCUAACGUUGGCCCGUAAUCCGGGUUGCGGACAGUGUCUGGUGGGUAGUUUGACUGGGGCGGUCUCCUCCUAAAGAGUAACGGAGGAGCACGAAGGUUGGCUAAUCCUGGUCGGACAUCAGGAGGUUAGUGCAAUGGCAUAAGCCAGCUUGACUGCGAGCGUGACGGCGCGAGCAGGUGCGAAAGCAGGUCAUAGUGAUCCGGUGGUUCUGAAUGGAAGGGCCAUCGCUCAACGGAUAAAAGGUACUCCGGGGAUAACAGGCUGAUACCGCCCAAGAGUUCAUAUCGACGGCGGUGUUUGGCACCUCGAUGUCGGCUCAUCACAUCCUGGGGCUGAAGUAGGUCCCAAGGGUAUGGCUGUUCGCCAUUUAAAGUGGUACGCGAGCUGGGUUUAGAACGUCGUGAGACAGUUCGGUCCCUAUCUGCCGUGGGCGCUGGAGAACUGAGGGGGGCUGCUCCUAGUACGAGAGGACCGGAGUGGACGCAUCACUGGUGUUCGGGUUGUCAUGCCAAUGGCACUGCCCGGUAGCUAAAUGCGGAAGAGAUAAGUGCUGAAAGCAUCUAAGCACGAAACUUGC